ACGGCUUCACCCCAGUUAUACAUACUCAAGGAAUCUAAGUUAUCUAACAAAAAAAAAACGGAAAACUAAGGAAAGACUUAAAUGUUUGCGGAAAAUAGAAAACAACAAAUCCAAGCAAUAUAUACAAUCUACAGAAUACAUCAACAUCUUUUUUUUUUCUUCUUAUUUUAGUAUCAUUCAACUUCUUCACAAUGCUGGCAAUUGUAAUGUCCUCA
rnacentral:lncRNA from 1 species